rnacentral:rRNA from 1 species
GACGAACGCUGGCGGCGUGCCUAACACAUGCAAGUCGAACGGAGAUAGAUGAUUUCGGUUAUUUAUUUUAGUGGCGAACGGGUGAGUAACGCGUGAACAACCUGACCUUAAGAGGGGGAUAACGUCGAGAAAUCGGUGCUAAUACCGCAUAAGACCACAACGUCACAUGGCGAAGGGGUCAAAGAUUUAUCGCUUAAGGAGGGGUUCGCGUCCCAUUAGAUAGUAGGCGGGGUAACGGCCCACCUAGUCGACGAUGGGUAGCCGAGCUGAGAGGCUGAUCGGCCGCACUGGAACUGAGACACGGUCCAGACUCCUACGGGAGGCAGCAGUGGGGAAUAUUGGGCAAUGGGCGCAAGCCUGACCCAGCAACGCCGCGUGAGGGAAGAAGGCCUUCGGGUUGUAAACCUCUGUCGCAAGGGACGAAGAAAGUGACGGUACCUUGUGAGGAAGCCCCGGCUAACUACGUGCCAGCCGCCACCGUAA